rnacentral:rRNA from 1 species
UACAGAGGUCUCAAGCGUUGUUCGGAUUCAUUGGGCGUAAAGGGUGCGUAGGUGGCGCGCUAAGUCAGGUGUGAAAUUUCGGAGCUUAACUCCGAAACUGCAUUUGAUACUGGCGUGCUUGAGGACUGGAGAGGAGACUGGAAUUCAUGGUGUAGCAGUGAAAUGCGUAGAUAUCUGGAGGAACACCGGUGGCGAAGGCGGCAUCCUGGACCGACACUGACGCUGAGGAGCGAAAGCCAGGGGAGCAAACGGG